UACUUUAUCAGAUGGGUCGUUUUUGGAAGUAUAUUUUGGUUCAACGCAAUGAUCCUUUCAGAUUUAUAGCGGAUUCUUCACCAUUUUGGGAGAUAUAUAUGCCUAGAAGAGUUGUAUGAGGUUGUAUCAUCAUAUCUGGGAAGGUUUUUUUUUACCAUGGAUUCCAAAGAAGUCAUCAUCUGAGUCUUUUCUAUGUUUAUUCGGAGUCCUGAUUCGGCCUCAAAUUCUUUUAAGAUAAUGGAUAUUCUAUUCAUAGACCUUAUUUUCACUACCUCAUCAGAUAAUGGAAAGUUCGUAAGCGUAUAAUAGAGCCUUCAGAACCUUGUCCCCAUCGAUUCUAAUGCCUCUUAACACUUUUUUCUUCCUGGAUCCGAUCCCAUAACAUCUU
rnacentral:lncRNA from 1 species